UUCUUGGUCAAUUAGAGGAAGUAAAAGUCGUAACAAGGUUUCCGUAGGUGAACCUGCGGAAGGAUCAUUACAGAAAAUACUUUGGACAGUUCCUUUGGGGACUGUUCAAACACUUUCUAUUCAAACCCCCCUAUUUGUGCACUAUGAGCGCGGAGUGCCCCUAUCUCCGGAUAGGGGCGUUAGACUCUUGCGUUUCUUUUUAUCCAUACACACCCUGUAGUCUUUGAAUGUCUAUACUUUUAUAAUGAAAUAUAACUUUCAGCAAUGGAUCUCUUGGCUCUUGCAUCGAUGAAGAACGCAGCGAAAUGCGAUAAGUAAUGUGAAUUGCAGAAUUCAGUGAAUCAUCGAAUCUUUGAACGCACCUUGCACCUUUUGGUUUUCCAAAAGGUACACCUGUUUGAGUAUCAUUAAUAUCCUCCACUUUGAAUUCAUUUUUGAAGCUGGGAAGUUGGGAGCUUGCAGCUCGCAUGAGCUGCUCUCCUUGAAUGUAUUAGCGAGUUUAGGCAAGCUUUGAUGUGAUAAAUAAAACCAUCUCUCAGAGUCUUCUUGCUGUUGGCUUGCUUUCAAACCCCCCCUAUAUUAAUUAAAUCUUGAUCUCAAAUCAGGUGGGAUUACCCGCUGAACUUAAGCAUAUCAAUAAG
rnacentral:rRNA from 1 species